rnacentral:lncRNA from 1 species
GCAACUAGAGCUUAAUCAUCAUUGCAUUCCCUCUGAAAAUAGCAAUCAUGUAGCUUCAUGUUCUCUGAUGACACACCAACUGUAGACUGUCAUAUUACCAAGAACUGAUAGCUAACACCCUGAGAUAAAACCUGCAGCAACAAACCCCAUCCCAAACUCAAAAGCCACUGAAAUUUCCGUAACUGUUUCUGCCUUUGACAAACAGAAAACAUGCCCUGCUCCAUAACCAUUAUGCAUCCUCCUUUAAACUGACCCAAGAAUAUCCUUACAGAUACUCACACAGCCAUAAAACACUCAUCAAAUCCAAGGUACUAGACGUCCUUGAAUUUUCAGAGUUUCCGGGCUGGAAGCAGAUAGCUAAAGCACCACUCGCAGCUGACUUCUACAAACUGAUUCAACCAAAGAAUAACCUGAAAACCAUCACUGAAUCUUGGCCAAUCCCAUGAAAAACCAGUACAAAAUCACUUUGUUUAAACAAGCUUUGAAUCCCAAUAGCUAUGCAGAACUUGAGCAAACUUGAAACUUCAACACAGAGCAUCACAAAUGCCUUGUGACUGCAGCGGAACCAGACUUUAUAAGUCUCAGAAAACUUGAGUCUUGAAGUUGAUGUUCGGUUUUGAUAUAAACCAUUGAGUAACAGAACGUGUACUCAUCCUUUCAUAACCCCAAAACCAGCUGAUAUCUCUGAAAUACCUUCAGCUUAUACCAAUCUUCCAUUAGUUUCUUCAGCAUUGACCAAGAACUCUCUUCUUGUAUCAUGUGCUUCUUGCUUCUAUCUCUGAUAAUUUUCUUCUGCUUGCUACACUUCAUCUUGUGAGAAUUCUGUUAUCCUUCUCACAAUGUUGCAGCUUCAUGUAUCUUAGAGGCCUCUUGAUUUCAGAGCCCCUGAAAUCACCUCAACUGAUUCACACUUUCACCAUGAAUCACUCCUUAAGAUACAACUUGUUCAC